rnacentral:lncRNA from 1 species
GCAAGACCCUGUCUGUACAAAGAAUAAAAGAUAAAUUAGUCAGGCGCUGUGAUGUGUGCCUAUAGUCCCAGCUACUUGGGAGGCUGAGGCAGGAGGAUCACUUUAGCCCAGGAGUUUGGAGGCUGCAGUGAACUAUAACUGUGCCACUGCAUUCCAGCCAGGUCAACAGAGUGAAACCUUGCCUCUUAAAAAAAAAAACCCAAAACCUUCAUUUGCCUUCUCCUUCAUCAUCUCAGCCAAGACCCAGGCCUAGCACACACCCAACUUCCAAAUCUCUUUCCUUGUAAAAGGCACCCUUUUUAAUACUUGUCUCCAGUCUCUUAGUGUCACACUCUUGAGCAUCUGAUGGAAGCCACGGGCCUCUCCCCCAGAAAGAAGGCACAGAUGCACUUACACAUCCUAGUGGACAGUUCCCUGGGGAGCCCAGUCCCCCUGAAGCCGGCCUACCCAUGGUGCCCAAGCUAAGGGCUCUUGCUCUGUAGGAUUAGGGG